CCUGAUCAGCCAUGCCGCGUGUGUGAAGAAGGCCUUAUGGUUGUAAAGCACUUUAAGCGAGGAGGAGGCUACUUUAGUUAAUACCUAGAGAUAGUGGACGUUACUCGCAGAAUAAGCACCGGCUAACUCUGUGCCAGCAGCCGCGGUAAUA
rnacentral:rRNA from 1 species